rnacentral:tRNA from 1 species
GCUGAGAUGUCCGAGCGGUCUAAGGAGCUGGAUUCAAGUGCAAGGUCAGCCCCGGCCGAGUCUUCCGAGCCGCAUUGGGCGCCGACAGACACUUUCACCGAGGAUUGGUGGACUUCCCAGUAGGGCAACCUGCGGGGGUUCGAAUCCCCCUCUCAGCA